UAUAAAAUGGCGUUAUUCAUAAUAAAUCAUGUGUAUAAACUAAGAUGUUUUUGAUGACAACAAUAUUAUUAUAUUAAAUAACAAUACUGAAUAUUUAAUUAUAGCGUCGAUGAAAGAAACGAAGAAACUUUCUACUAGUUCAUUUUACCAAGAACCUAAAAAGCUCCCCAUCAAGUUGAAAGGACAAAUGAAAAACUAUACUGGCAUGUCAUUUUAUGAAGAAAUUAUUGAAAUGAAUCAGAAAUAUAAAUAUAUAAGCAUUGACUAAGAAGUUAAAAAGCUUUCCAUCAAGUUGUAAUAUCCAAGGACAAAUGAAAUGAAUCAGAAACGCAACUCCAAAAGGUCAGAUUUUGCUCAUUAUUUUGCUGAUUGUGUGUUUUUAAAAAUACAGUUUAACUGAUUAUUUUUAA